UCAGUGCCGCAGCUAACGCAUUAAGCACUCCGCCUGGGGAGUACGACCGCAAGGUUGAAACUCAAAGGAAUUGACGGGGGCCCGCACAAGCGGUGGAGCAUGUGGUUUAAUUCGAAGCUACGCGAAGAACCUUACCAGGUCUUGACAUCUUGCGCUAACCUAAGAGAUUAGGCGUUCCCUUCGGGGACGCAAUGACAGGUGGUGCAUGGUCGUCGUCAGCUCGUGUCGUGAGAUGUUGGGUUAAGUCCCGCAACGAGCGCAACCCUUGUUACUAGUUGCCAGCAUUCAGUUGGGCACUCUAGUGAGACUGCCGGUGACAAACCGGAGGAAGGUGGGGACGACGUCAGAUCAUCAUGCCCCUUAUGACCUGGGCUACACACGUGCUACAAUGGCCGGUACAACGAGCAGCUAACCCGCGAGGGUGUGCAAAUCUCUUAAAGCCGGUCUCAGUUCGGACUGCAGUCUGCAACUCGACUGCACGAAGUCGGAAUCGCUAGUAAUCGCGGAUCAGCAUGCCGCGGUGAAUACGUUCCCGGGCCUUGUACACACCGCCCGUCACACCAUGGAAGUUUGCAAUGCCCAAAGUCAGUGGCCUAACCAUUUUGGAGGGAGCUGCCUAAGGCAGGGCAGAUGACUGGGGUGAAGUCGUAACAAGGUAACC
rnacentral:rRNA from 1 species